rnacentral:rRNA from 1 species
UACGUAGGGGGCAAGCGUUGUCCGGAAUCAUUGGGCGUAAAGCGCGCGUAGGCGGCCCUGUAAGUCUGCUGUGAAAGUCAAAGGCUCAACCUUUGAAAGCCGGUGGAUACUGUAGGGCUAGAGUCCGGAAGAGGCGAGUGGAAUUCCUGGUGUAGCGGUGGAAUGCGCAGAUAUCGGGAAGAACACCCGUGGCGAAGGCGGUUCUCUGGGACGGUACUGACGCUGAGACGCGAAAGCGUGGGGAGCGAACAGG